CCUACGGGAGGCUGCAGUGAGGAAUAUUGGUCAAUGGGCGCGAGCCUGAACCAGCCAAGCAGCGUGAAGGAUGACUGCCCUACGGGUUGUAAACUUCUUUUAUAAAGGAAUAAAGUGAGGCACGUGUGCCUUUUUGUAUGUACUUUAUGAAUAAGGAUCGGCAAACUCCGUGCCAGCAGCCGCGGUAAUACGGAGGAUCCGAGCGUUAUCCGGAUUUAUUGGGUUUAAAGGGAGCGUAGAGGGGUUGUUAAGUCAGUGGUCAAAUUGAGGGGUUCAACCCCUUCCCGCUAUUGAAACUGGCGCUCGUGAGUGUAAGAGAAGUAUGCGGAAUGCGUGGUGUAGCGGUGAAAUGCAUAGAUAUCACGCAGAACCCCGAUUGCGAAGGCAGCAUGCCGGCUUCCGACUGACGCUGAAGCACGAAAGCGUGGGGAUCGAACAGGAUUAGAUACCCUGGUAGUC
rnacentral:rRNA from 1 species